UUUAAAAGAAAAAAAAGAAAAUUCAAUAGGGAAAAGGAUAGUGAGACAAUUUAAUAGUCCAGGUGUCCUUGGAGCGAGUUAUUAUUUAAGAAUUUUCUUUAAGGAAACUUAAUAGUACGAGGAAAAAAUUUCAAGUGUGAUUCCUGGGUGUCGACAGAUAUUGUGAGGACUAUUAACAGUUCCAUUGAAGGACUGCGGAAAGGGUCUCCAGUUUUUGGAUACAUGAGUGCACACGUGGUCCACUCGUCACGUCUACCCAAAUUUUAAGGAGGUAUUGAUAAACCUCAUGGUUAUUAGCCCACGUCCUCUUGUCACGCCAACCCACGUGGACCUACUGUCACCCAUACCCUGGUGUCAAAGAGGUUGUUGGAAGUCUCAGUCGUUUUAGCCCACGUAGUCCUGUCACGCCAACCCACGUGGACCAACCGCCACCCUUACCCGAGUGCCAAAUAGGUUGUUUGAAACCUCAUUUGUUUUAUCACACGUGGUCCUACUUCCAAAUUUUGCCACGUGCCAAGAAGAUUUGUGAAACCUUGGAUUAUAAACACACGUGGUGAGAACAUAACUAUAACCACGUGUCACCAAUCAUCUAAUCGGAUAAGUAAAACGAAAAUCAAAAUUUUUAAGUGACCAAAAAAAAAAAAA